GUUAAAACUUAGAUGAGAUGUUGGUGUUUUAUGGCUCACGAAUUCGUAAUAACGGAUAUGUAUAGCAGUUCGUGUUAAUGACAUUAAUCAAAACUUAUUGAUGACGUGAUAACAUGGGCGUCGAAUCCAAUAUUAAUCAUGCUGAGGUUUUCUCGACGGGGUAAUGUGUAUAAAUGCAGUUAUAAAAUUAAAAGGGACAAGAUAGUCGACGUGACCCUCAUGUUUCCAUGGCAAUCAGUCAAUUACAUGUUACGCUUAUGAUCGCACCUGCGGUCAUUCGCGCAGUAUCCAUGAUUUUAAGCGGCAUGGAACACUUAAGUUAACUCCUUUGUACGAAAAUAUCAUGUCGUAGCCCUUCAAAUUAGAAAAGUGAGGGUGAUCUUGUCAAUGCUGAGAUUUUCAUGCAUCAGCAGCCACUACAUCUGGAUCAGAUUGAACAAGAAACGGACAGCAAGGGUUGUCAGAUCAGAAACAGAAUGACACACAAACAAGAAACUUCACAGGCAGAUCAACAUGCAAUUUGAAGACGUGUGAUAAAAUACAGAGAGGUGAAGUAGUGUGUCUUUCCAGAUCCCCAAAUCAUUCCCCCUUAAAAGAUGAGCCUGAAGAGGAGAUUUGGGAAGAUGUUGUUUCAUAAGUCGCUUUGCCAGAUCACCUGUGGUCGGGAUGUCUGCUAACAAGAUGCCUUGCUGGUCUGAGCGAGUUUAAAGUCUUACACAGACAGUCCAGAAGUUCUGAAGUCCAUCUUCGAUUUCAUUGGAUGCUUUAAGGUGUAGAAACAUCUCAGCAACCUCAAGAGAAAUUGGAGGCAACUGAGCUAAAUUGCAGAUGUUGUUGCAAAGGGUCUGAAUAUGUAUAAUGUAAAUAUGAUAUGUUUUCUUUUUUCAUACAUUUGCAAAAGUUUCUAAAAUUCUGUUUUUACUUUGUAAAAAUAUCUAAACAAUUACAGUAUCAUGCAACAACAUAAAAUUGAAAGUGAAAGGUGUAUGAUUUCUGAAUGCACUGUAGAUGAUCUUAAUUGAACCUCAUUGUCAUCUUCGUAAACACAACAGCUUUGUUCUUUCAUCAGAUGGCUAUGCAAUAUUUCAAGUCAGACUAUCAAAGAAAACGCAUCUUGCCCAGAUGUGCAAUAACAAGAUUUUUUUGUACAUGGGCUAAAAUGCAGCAUUUUUUGAAAAUUAAAUAUCUUGUUUUUU